rnacentral:lncRNA from 1 species
UCGGCGUUCUAUACAGCGUGGAGUCCGACGGAGAAUGGGGUCAUCUUCACCUCCAUCGGCCCCAUCUUCGACUCCGCCAAGGCGACGGUCCAGAUCGCUCGGGUCACCUUCGAUCCCGCCGACCUGGACGGCAGCAGGGACGAGGAGGUGAAGACAGAGAUGAAGGUGCUAACCCGCGCCGACGCCGGCAACAACGCGUUCGCGGCGUGCUCCCCCGACGGGCGCUACCUCGUCUUCCGCUCGGGGCGGUCCGGCCACAAGAACCUCUACAUCGUGGACGCCGUCGAGGGGGAGACCAGCGGCGGCGGAGUGCGGAGGCUGACGGAGGGGGAGUGGAUCGACACGAUGCCGG